rnacentral:ncRNA from 1 species
UAACAGGCAAUGAAGAAGAGGAGUACAUAUUUUUGAAAGCAAAGAGACGGGAUGGCUGGUGUGAAUCCUGGUGAAAAAAGUAUGGAAGCAGCUUCCGAGCUAUGGACCGAACGUCAUAUAUUGUAUGGCAAGUAGACUUCAUCGGAUAUCCGACCGUUAUCCCGGGUACAGUAUAAAACGAUAUGUGAAUCGGCAUAUUUUCGUACUGAAUGAGCGCAGAGUUCUCUCUGAAUUUAGGUGGUAACACGGAUGAAUCAUUCGCCCUAAAC